GAACACAGAGUGGAUUAUUACUGAGAUUACUAAGGACUGGUCUAGAGUCAGUUGUUAAGAUAAGGGUGGUUAGGAGAAGAAUUGAGAAAUCUGAUCCUAGACCAUUAUCUGCUAGAACCAGGGGUGGGCGAUGCCAGUCAGGACCCACCGUCUCUCCAUCUGACUAAUCAAACUGCAUUCUGAACUGAAGAUCUUGACGAGGUGAUUAUUGGAGUCAUUUAUCAUGACUGAAUGGGGGCAGGUCAGCAGACACAAUAUACAGGCAGAAAUACACAGUGCAACAGCACCACCUGUAGCCUGGGUAACAGUCUCUUAGCUAACGUUCCCCUCCCUGUGCUCCACUCCCUGUGCUCCACUCCCUGUGCUCCACUCCCUGGGCUCCACUCCCUGUGCUCCACUCCCUGGGCUCCACUCCCUGUGCUCCACUCCCUGUGCUCCACUCCCUGUGCUCCACUCCCUGUGCUCCACUCCCUGUGCUCCACUCCCUGUGCUCCACUCCCUGUGCUCCACUCCCUGUGCUCCACUCCCUGUGCUCCACUCCCUGUACUCCACUCCCUGCACUCCACUCCCUGCACUCCACUCCCUGCACUCCACUCCCUGCACUCCACUCCCUGCACUCCACUCCCUGCACUCCACUCCCUGUACUCCACUCCCUGUACUCCACUCCCUGUGCCAAAGAGACAGGACGUUCUCCCAUCUUCAACUCUGAAGAUUCUAUCAUUAAUGAGCUUGAGGAGAACAGAGGAGUUGCUCCUGAUUCGAUAACCCCUCGCAGCUAUCCUCCAAUCACAACGAUUAGGCAACUAUUGGAACUAAUCACUGUUUAAUCUCCACUGGAAGUGUUGCUAUCCGGUUGCUAAGCAAUCAUUUUGGGGGGUUCAGCCAGGUAAAACCAGUGUGUUGACAGCGUGAAAAGUUGCAAGCUCACGUCUAAAUACGUACUGUAACUCCAACCACAAAACGUCUUAGGCCUUGAUUUAAAGAACCAAAAUAAUCAACAGCUUGCCUAGCUAACAGCUAAAUGUUGCUUUUUGAUUUGGUCAUAUAAUUAUAAUUACAUUUGAGGCUCUACAUGUCGACAUGGGGAAAAUAUGAAUGUUAUUUUCAAACAACCAAUGAGCAACUCUGCCGUAAACCAGCUGCGUACUGAACGUUGAGAUCGCCAGAGACCCCCGUCUCUAUGGCAAUGACAAGGAGUGGCAUGUUAACUCAGGUAGUGUGUCCAGGUGUAGCAGGGAGGGGAGAGAUGGACAGAGAGAGACAGGUAGUGUGUCCAGGUGUAGCAGGGAGGGGAGAGAUGGACAGAGAGAGACAGGUAGUGUGUCCAGGUAUAGCAGGGAGGGGAGAGAUGGACACAGAGAGAGACAGACAGGUAGUGUGUCCAGGUGUAGCAGGGAGGGGAGAGAUGGACACAGAGACAGACAGACAGACAGGUAGUGUACUUGUUAAACUCAGGUAGUUUGUUCAGGUCUAGCAGGGAGGGGAGAGAUGGACACAGAGACAGACAGACAGGUAGUGUACUUGUUAAACUCAGGUAGUUUGUCCAGGUCUAGCAGGGAGGGGAGAGAUGGACACAGAGACAGACAGACAGACAGGUAGUGUACUUGUUAAACUCAGGUAGUUUGUCCAGGUCUAGCAGGGCAGAGACAGACAGAGACAGGUAGUGUACUUGUUAAACUCAGGUAGUUUGUCCAGGUCUA